rnacentral:lncRNA from 1 species
CCAGAAAGCAUUGCAAUAACAGGCGGCGCUACAGAGUCAUGCGAGCAGCUGAGCUGUAGCUCUAACUUUAAUCAUUUCACUUUUGCCGAGGCUAGCAAAUAUACUAAAGUCAAGGUGGUAGUUUUAGUAUUAUUUAAAUAUCUCUAUGAUAAAAUGCAAUGUUAUAAUCGUCACGGCGCGCCAAAAUAAGUAUUGUUAGCUAGUUCUUUAAAGUUUUUAAAGGGGCUUCGCGUAUAUUAGCAUAGCAUCAGCUAACAGCUGCGUGGAUGUGUGCGCAGUUAGCCUGUAGCCGAACUACCUUGUCAAGAAUCAUCCCUCAGUACAACUGACUGUCCGACACCGGUCCAAUCCGAUCCGGUACUUUCGUGGGAAGAGUGGACAAGCUGUGUGCCAAGUCAAAUGUUGAGGUUUUACUGAACAGUGGACAAUGGAUCAGGACAACAACUCGGAGGAUGACUCAGUUGGCCAAGCAGAAGAUGAUACACAACCUCCAUUUCCUCUUGGACUCUGUGAGUAAUCUGAUUUAAAGUUUGCAAAUCCCAAUGUUCUUUUAUAUGAUUUUG